rnacentral:misc_RNA from 1 species
UAUAAGUUUCUUGUAUAUUUUUAUUAUGAACAAAUAAUAAGGUUAUAAGUACGUUUUAUAAUUACUGGUUUGGCAAUAACAUAAUCUCAUUUAUACUAAAUAAAUAAAAAGACCUCGUUAACAAUUUUCCACCCAAAUAUAUUUAGAAGUUUAAAAUCGAGCAAACAUUGUGGGUUUUUAACAUAUUUAUUGUAAACCCUUUAAAUGAGAACUACAAAACUAACAUGUGUUGUUUAUUUGCUUUAUUACUUCUUAAAUUUCUCAACACACUUUUUACCUAAUUAGGGGCAGUCCUCAUUCUAAUGGUUUACGAUUAAUUUCCUUUGAUACAUAGUAAAAUACUGGUUAAUGUCUCUUCUUGUGAAUUGCACUCCAUAUAUCGUGAGCUGUGCUUGCGAUAUUUAUAACUUUUAGUCCCUUGCC